CACACGUCUUGGCAAGACCGUCCGCGACCGAGCGGGGGCCUCCUUUGAGGAGCGAGUGGGGGCGGCGCUCAAGGUGAUCCACACCAAGAGGCUGGCGGAGGAGACGGAGCAGCGCAAGGCCCUGCAGGCGGCGGUGGAG
rnacentral:SRP_RNA from 1 species